GUUGAGAUCUAUCCCGAUGGGGCUUUUUCUGUAAACCUACAUCAUUGGAAAUGCCUCAUAGAAUAACUAUGUGGUUUCCUUUACUCUUACAAUUACAUGUUGGAUCUGUGGAGAAGAGCUACAAGACAGCU
ensembl:snoRNA